AACGAACGCUGGCGGCAUGCCUAACACAUGCAAGUCGAACGAGACCUUCGGGUCUAGUGGCGCACGGGUGCGUAACGCGUGGGAACCUGCCCCUAGGUUCGGAAUAACUCCCCGAAAGGGGUGCUAAUACCGGAUAAUGUCUUCGGACCAAAGAUUUAUCGCCUUUGGAUGGGCCCGCGUUGGAUUAGCUAGUUGGUAGGGUAAAAGCCUACCAAGGCGACGAUCCAUAGCUGGUCUGAGAGGAUGAUCAGCCACACUGGGGCUGAGACACGGCCCAGACUCCUACGGGAGGCAGCAGUGGGGAAUAUUGGACAAUGGGCGAAAGCCUGAUCCAGCAAUGCCGCGUGAGUGAUGAAGGCCUUAGGGUUGUAAAGCUCUUUUACCCGGGAUGAUAAUGACAGUACCGGGAGAAUAAGCUCCGGCUAACUCCGUG
rnacentral:rRNA from 1 species